UUGGGCCCAGUAGUGGCUCAGUGGGAGCCCCGCCGUGCCCCUUCCUACGCAUGUACAGAUGCAUAAAGAUACACGCACACACGUGUUGUACAUGCGGACACACACACCUGUUUGGACGAGAGGAUGCAACGGGUUCUCGGGACGGCGGAGCGGGCACAGAUGUUGGCUCUGUCCUGCUUGCAGGCCUUAGCGCGAUAAUCCCUUUUUGAUUUUUCUCCCAUUUUUUCCAUGUACCUUCUUUUACCUUCUGUUGUCACAUCUGGUUAUCAUUUCCAACCAUUUUUACUUCUCAGUGCUCUCCUGUCAGGUGGAUACUGCCUUUUAGGCUUUUUUGCUGAUCAGAAGGAUAAACAAAUCGAAAUACUUUAUUCAAUCGCCUAAUAAUAUACUCCCAUUCUUGAAAAAAAAAAUUAGCCAUUAGCUGGAUCAAGGCCAUAUGGAAAGGGAGAUAAAAUUAGAUAUAGUGUUGGUAUUUCAAAACUUACUACUUCCAUUAGGUUUCAUAUUGGAAUACUGACACUUCAAGAAGAACUUACUCCAUGUCCUUCUUUCAUUGAAGUCAUUGAUGAAACUUACAUAGAGGAAACAUCAGGAAACAAAGUUACCCCAAACAACUCAAGGCAGCACAUGGCUCAGUGUGGCCGGAGUUGUGUGUUCCUUUUUUCAGCUAGUAUAUGGCAGGGCUGCUUUGGUCAGCACCUUUCUCAAUAAGAACUUAGGUUAUCUGAACUGCAUGCCGUUUUAGUGGAUUGAGCAAUAUUUGAUCCCUCAAUUGCUACUGCCCUCAGGCAUCCCCAAAUCUUGAGUUAACUAUUUGUGAAUCUCAGCUAUCUAGCCUUUUUAAAAUUUUUUGAUUGCCCACUGGUCCGUACAUACAUAUCAGUCUUAUCAAACUAUUGGUGUGUAAAGACUUAAAAGUCUUCUAUUCUCUGGCUUUUUGAACCUUUUACUUACUUUCUCUUCUCCAUGCAGUGGUUUGUAAUCUGCAAUCCAUUUAAACCUAUGCUAGUAACAUAUUAUUUAAAAAUACUGUAUGUGUAGUUAGUGUUUCUCUGUUUGGAUAGACACGUGUGCUCCAUGCUACACAUUUGUGUGGUGUCCUUUUUCUUUAAGCUAGAUUUCUUACGCAGUUCAGAACCCCAAAAUCUACACAAGCAUAUGUUGGAAAGACUCAACACUUUAAGAGACUUAAUUGAAUAUUGUAUAUGUCAGGUUACAUCAGGCUUGGCAGAGAGAUACCCAAUAAAAAGAAUAAUGGCUUAAUUGUCAUGUCAUAAGCAUUCUUGGUGUAUUGCAAGGCAGAGAUACGGCUUUUUGUACCCCAGGGUGUACAGUCCUCACAUAGCUACCAAGGAAGGCUUCUGGUUUGUAAGCCUAAACACAUUCUGAGAGACUUAUGUUAACAACAAACAAACAAACAAACAAAAACUGUGAGCAGCUAGAAUGGAUUAAUUAUGUUACCUUGUGAGACUUCAAGGGGGUUUUUGUCUUUUUCAGUUGAAACAGUUAAACACAGGUGAAUUUCUGUUUAUAAUGAGGUCAGUAGCAAAAUGUAAGUAGCAGUUUGUACUUUAAAGGUAACAUCUGAGCUUAGGUUCUGCAAACACACAUAUGAAUAACUUUGCCACGGAAAGAGCUUCUGGGCCUGAAGUUAUUCACAUGUGCUUGCAGGCACGGGCCUUGAUUUGUGUUCUAACUUCCUCACUGAUGCAUCUCAGUAAUGUUUGCCUUUUUCACCUCAGCCAAACAAUGGACUGCAAAAUGGAAGAGAAGAAUUGCAUUGCAUUGGACAUGGAUUUGUUGGGCCCUCAGAAAAGAAGAGAUGAGGGAUUCUGGCAUCAUGAUGGGCUCCUGUGUCCAUGAAAGGAAUGGAGUCCAUUGUGGACAGGCUCCAGCCACUCAGUGAGAUCAGUUUUGGAGAGGAAAGUGGUUGGUGAGUAAGGAGAGAAUAAUCUGUUUCCCUGAAGCACCUCUGAGUUUAUGUACUAUAGACUUAAUAGUGUUAUGGCACUUAAUGGUACCAUGGUAAUUUUUUGGAUGUGAUAGCACUAUGUAAUAGCCACAUGGAAAGUCCUGUUGCUAGUUUGUACAGGUCCAGCAGUGCUUGCUCAUGCAUAGUUAUAUUUUGGAUCUGUGCAGAAAUAUGUAAAUUCUUAAACACUGUAUGUAUCAUAAGACUCUUCUUUCCACUUUCACCUCAGAAAAAAACCAUGUAUUUAUGCUACUUAUGACUUAUUACUGCCUCUUGAUUUCCUAAGAGACCAGAAUUUGCCUGAUAGAGGGACAUUGAAUUUGUAUGAGUGCUGAUAACUUCAGACCUUUUCUAAGUACGAAGUAGCAUGACUGAUGACUGCAGCUGAAACAGAGGAGAAACCAAGUCAUUUGCUCCACUGUCCUGCCUGUCAUAGUUUAUGUGUUUGGUUUAAUUUUUUUUUUUUCCUGCAUAAAUCUUUGCUUAGGAUGCAUACCCUCAGGAGAUAGGUUGAGUCCUAGUCUCAGAAGACUCACAGCAUGCUACAGGGCUCACUGGCAAGAAUUAUCCCAGAAAAGACACUCAUGGAGCAGCUCUGCUGUGGAAAAAGUCCACACAGCUCUCUUCCACAGCGGAUGCUGAAUUACCCUGAAAAGCAGCUUUAUUACAGUGGGGUUUUUAUCUCCAUUGAGUUUACCUGUGUCUUUUUACUACUGUUUCCUCUCUGGCCCCACCUUUCCUUAUCAGAGCAAGGUGGGGGCAAGAGGAGGUGGUGCAAGAGGUUGCUUUAUGUCUUCAGUAUGUUAGGUACUGAUGGCAUCACAUGUUGCAACUGCCAGUGGUUUUGGCAAAUUUUUGAAACUUACUCCUUUCCAUUAUGGUAUCACUGUAAGAGGAAUUGAAGGGUGACUUUACUUCAUGCCUAGGAGAGUGCUACUGGACCCAGCAGUUAUGUGUAUACCAUGUCUUUUGUGGUAGCCACUGAAAAGUAUUUAAAGUUACCUGGAUUUUAUCACAUUGGGAAAUAAUUUGCUCUUUCUAUGCAGCUUUGUGUCCCAGGAGGUUAGAGAAGCUCUUCCAAGUGUGCCUCAAACCACAUGUUAAAGGCACUCCUCCUGGAGCUGUAAUGUAGACAAGUUUACAGCCCUGAGUGAUAACAAUGUAUCUUCUGACCAGCUUGUUUAGGCCAAUAUCUAUUUUAUUUGUCUAUGUUGUCCAAGGAGUAUGACAAGGAGGUAUGUGAUAUUGUAUUUCCUGGAAGAUGGCAUGAAUGUGCUGCUGAAUUCUAGCUUCAUUUUUGCUUUCAAUCUGUGGAAUUGCCUCUGCUUUGGCUGUAGAAUGGCUUUACCAUAGUGAAUAGAGCCUGUGUGUUUGUAUGGUACCAAACUUAAACUUGCAUGAGUCACUACUUGACUCUGCUAAUCAUGCUGUUUUGCUUUAGCUACAACAUAAUCUUCAGGAACAGAGCAGCUGAUGUUUUAUGCUGCUAGAUAACUAUGGCUAAGGUUGCAUAUUUUCUGGUGCAUUCUCUUUCUGGAAAGUAUCUGUAUCGCAAUCGUUUGCAGAGAGACAAAGAGGUCCUUA